UUAUUCGUUUUUAUUCUUUUU
rnacentral:piRNA from 1 species